UACGUAGGUGGCAAGCGUUGUCCGGAUUUACUGGGCGUAAAGAGCGCGCAGGCGGUCGUUCAAGUCGCGUGUGAAAGCCCCCGGCUCAACUGGGGAGGGUCACGCGAUACUGAUCGACUCGAAGGCAGGAGAGGGUAGUGGAAUUCCCGGUGUAGUGGUGAAAUGCGUAGAUAUCGGGAGGAACACCAGUGGCGAAGGCGACUACCUGGCCCUGACCUGACACUGAGGCGCGAAAGCGUGGGGAGCGAACCGG
rnacentral:rRNA from 1 species